rnacentral:rRNA from 1 species
UACGGAGGGCGCAAGCGUUGUUCGGAAUCAUUGGGCGUAAAGCGCGUGUAGGCGGCCCGGUAAGUCGGGUGUGAAAUCCCGGGGCCCAACCCCGGAACUGCAUUCGAUACUGCCUGGCUGGAGUCUCGGAGAGGAGAGCGGAAUUCCCGGUGUAGAGGUGAAAUUCGUAGAUAUCGGGAGGAACACCAGCGGCGAAGGCGGCUCUCUGGACGAUGACUGACGCUGAGACGCGAAAGCGUGGGGAGCAAACAGG